rnacentral:rRNA from 1 species
GACGAAGGGGGCAAGCGUUGUUCGGAAUUACUGGGCGUAAAGGGCGCGUAGGCGGUUCUUUAAGUCAGGCGUGAAAGCCCUGGGCUCAACCUGGGAGUGGCGCUUGAUACUGGAGGACUAGAGAGUGGGAGAGGUUGGUGGAAUUCCCAGUGUAGAGGUGAAAUUCGUAGAUAUCGAGAGGAACACCGGUGGCGAAGGCGGCCAACUGGACAGAUACUGACGCUGAGACACGAAAGCGUGGGGAGCAAACAGG